rnacentral:rRNA from 1 species
GACGAACGCUGGCGGCGUGCUUAACACAUGCAAGUCGAACGGUAAGGCCCCAGCUUGCUGGGGUACACAAGUGGCGAACGGGUGAGUAACACGUGGGUUACCUGCCCCGCACUUCGGGAUAAGCCUGGGAAACUGGGUCUAAUACCGGAUAGGACCGCACCGUGAGGGUGUGGUGGAAAGUGGUUCGGUGUGGGAUGGGCGCGCGGCCUAUCAGCUUGUUGGUGGGGUAAUGGCCUACCAAGGCGGCGACGGGUAGCCGGCCUGAGAGGGUGGACGGCCACAUUGGGACUGAGCCACGGCCCAGCCUCCUACGGGAGGCAGCAGUGGGGAAUAUUGCACAAUGGGCGGAAGCCUGAUGCAGCGACGCCGCGUGGGGGAUGACGGCCUUCGGGUUGUAAACUCCUUUCCCCAUCGACGAAGGUUUUCUGACGGUAGAUGGAGAAGAAGCACCGGCUAACUACGUG